UUUUACGGCCACACCGCCUGGUUCACGCCCGAUCUCGUUUGAUCUCGGGAAGCUAAGAUAGGGUGGGCCUGGUUAGUACUUGGAUGGGAGACCGCCUGGGAAUACCAGGUUUGUAAGAU
rnacentral:rRNA from 1 species